GAGUACAACUGUUGGGAAAAAUGCAUUCGAUGUAAUCUUAAAGCUACACCGCCUGCAUUGAUUGUAUUUUUAGCAAACCUGCCUACAGACGACGGUCCAACUCCAAAGGUGGAUAUUGUGCUAUCGAUUUGUUUUCAGAACAGCCUUCCAAUUGGUCAAAGUGGUAAAAUAGAUUUCUUCACAAUUGCCUGGAGGUCCUGCUCCUGCUACAAGUGAACUUUCUGGUUCAAGCAAGUCUCACCCUGUUCAAAGUGGUUUGUCUCAAACGGAACGGUCGAAAGCAUUACGGGAAAAGAAAAGAAUUAGAUAGUAUGGGCAUAAUCCAUUUCGACUUGACUUUAUGCUUAAAAUAAUCUAUAUUUUUGGCUUAUUUCUAUAAGCUCUCUAGAAUAGGCACAAUUCAUGAAAUAUACAAGAAUCCUUUAGCUUUCUUCCAUAUUCUGUGUUUGACAUCAAAAUUAAAUUUUAACUUUAUUGAUAUUAUUAUAA